UACGUAGGUGACCAGCGUUGUCCGGAAUUAUUGGGCGUAAAGCGCGCGCAGGUGGUUUCUUAAGUCUGAUGUGAAAGCCCACGGCUCAACCGUGGAGGGUCAUUGGAAACUGGGGAACUUGAGUGCAGGAGAGAAGAGUGGAAUUCCACGUGUAGCGGUGAAAUGCGUAGAGAUGUGGAGGAACACCAGUGGCGAAGGCGACUCUUUGGCCUGUAACUGACACUGAGGCGCGAAAGCGUGGGGAGCAUACAGG
rnacentral:rRNA from 1 species